GGAACUGUGGUGACUUAUUUACAUAUAUCAUCUCCUCUAACCCUCAGAACAACUGUAUAAUGUGUUAAUAUUAUUCCCAUAUUAUAAAGAAGAAACUUGAAGCUGGAGACUAGGAAUUGAACAUUUCCAUGCUGACGAACUCCCAAAUCUCUGUUUUCUGGCCUGACUGUUCAUCUGAAUAAAAAGACUUGUUCAUCUAGCUUCCAGCUGGAAAUCUCCACUAGCAUUCUAAGAGGAGGAGAAACUCGUCCUCAACUGGACUUACUGAAUAAGAGGCAAUCACCAGAGUCACCCUAGGAUUCAUCGUCAUCAACAUUACGUAGCAUCAACUAAAUAUUCUACAUAUCCUACGGUAUUCCAGCCAGAUGCUAUUGAAAAAAAUCUCCCCGCCACCCCCCUCCAAAAAAAGUCUCUGUCUCUAUCCUGGAGUACUUUAGGCUAACCCAAACGACACCACUUAAAACAUGAGAUGAGGCAGUGUGGAAAGUGCAGUUUUGUUACACGCUUAUGUGGUGCAGUGGACUGCACUGUGACCUCG